rnacentral:rRNA from 1 species
GACGAACGCUGGCGGCGUGCUUAACACAUGCAAGUCGAACGGAAAGGCCCUGCUUUUGUGGGGUGCUCGAGUGGCGAACGGGUGAGUAGCACGUGAGUAACCUGCCCUUGACUUUGGGAUAACUUCAGGAAACUGGGGCUAAUACCGGAUAGGAGCCCCUGCUGCAUGGUGGGGGUUGGAAAGUUUCGGCGGUUGGGGAUGGACUCGCGGCUUAUCAGCUUGUUGGUGGGGUAGUGGCUUACCAAGGCUUUGACGGGUAGCCGGCCUGAGAGGGUGACCGGCCACAUUGGGACUGAGAUACGGCCCAGACUCCUACGGGAGGCAGCAGUGGGGAAUAUUGCACAAUGGGCGGAAGCCUGAUGCAGCAACGCCGCGUGCGGGAUGACGGCCUUCGGGUUGUAAACCGCUUUCGCCUGUGACGAAGCGUGAGUGACGGUAAUGGGUAAAGAAGCACCGGCUAACUACGUG